AGCCCAUUAGCUCAGUUGGGUUAGAGCGUCGUGCUAAUAACGCGAAGGUCGUGGGUUCAAUCCCCCAAUGGGUCA